rnacentral:rRNA from 1 species
UGAGGAAUUUUGCACAAUGGGGGAAACCCUGAUGCAGCGAUACCGCGUGGAGGAUGAAGGCUUUCGGGUCGUAAACUCCUUUUCUCUGGGAAGAAUUUUGACUGUACCAGAGGAAUAAGUCACGGCUAACUACGUGCCAGCAGCCGCGGUAAUACGUAGGUGGCGAACGUUAUCCGGAAUUAUUGGGCGUAAAGCGUUCUUUGGUGGUUGUAUAAGUUGGAUGCGAAAUCUACGGGCCCAACCUGUAAAUUGUAUCCGAAACUGUAUGGCUCGAGCAUGUUAGAGGCGAGUGGAAUUUCUGGAGUAGGGGUAAAAUCCGUUGAUACCAGAAGGAACACCAAUUGCGAAGGCAGCUCGCUGGGGCAUUGCUGACACUUAUGAACGAAAGCGUGGGGAGCGAAAC